GGCAGGCUUACACAUGCAAGUCGAGCGCCCCGCAAGGGGAGCGGCAGACGGGUGAGUAACGCGUGGGAAUCUACCUUUUGCUACGGAAUAACUCAGGGAAACUUGUGCUAAUACCGUAUGUGCCCUUCGGGGGAAAGAUUUAUCGGCAAAGGAUGAGCCCGCGUUGGAUUAGCUAGUUGGUGGGGUAAAGGCCCACCAAGGCGACGAUCCAUAGCUGGUCUGAGAGGAUGAUCAGCCACACUGGGACUGAGACACGGCCCAGACUCCUACGGGAGGCAGCAGUGGGGAAUAUUGGACAAUGGGCGCAAGCCUGAUCCAGCCAUGCCGCGUGAGUGAUGAAGGCCCUAGGGUUGUAAAGCUCUUUCACCGGUGAAGAUAAUGACGGUAACCGGAGAAGAAGCCCCGGCUAACUUCGUGCCAGCAGCCGCGGUAAUACGAAGGGGGCUAGCGUUGUUCGGAUUUACUGGGCGUAAAGCGCACGUAGGCGGACUUUUAAGUCAGGGGUGAAAUCCCAGAGCUCAACUCUGGAACUGCCUUUGAUACUGGAAGUCUUGAGUAUGGUAGAGGUGAGUGGAAUUCCGAGUGUAGAGGUGAAAUUCGUAGAUAUUCGGAGGAACACCAGUGGCGAAGGCGCUCAUGGACAUUACUGACCUAGUGCGAAGGUGGGACAACAGAAUAAACCCUGGAUCCAC
rnacentral:rRNA from 2 species